AUUGAACGCUGGCGGCAUGCCUUACACAUGCAAGUCGAACGGCGGCGGACCUUCGGGUGCCGGCGAGUGGCGAACGGGUGAGUAAUAUAUCGGAACGUACCUUUCAGUGGGGGAUAACGUAGCGAAAGUUACGCUAAUACCGCAUAUUCUGUGAGCAGGAAAGCAGGGGAUCGCAAGACCUUGCGCUGAUUGAGCGGCCGAUAUCAGAUUAGCUAGUUGGUGAGGUAAAGGCUCACCAAGGCGACGAUCUGUAGCGGGUCUGAGAGGAUGAUCCGCCACACUGGAACUGAGACACGGUCCAGACUCCUACGGGAGGCAGCAGUGGGGAAUUUUGGACAAUGGGCGCAAGCCUGAUCCAGCCAUGCCGCGUGAGUGAAGAAGGCCU
rnacentral:rRNA from 1 species